GUUUGUUUUCCAGACUAUUUCAUGUUGUCCAAGCUGGCCUCACAUUCCUUAUGUAUCAAAGGACUUCUCACCCUCCUACUUCCACCUCCCAAGUGCCUGAGCCAGGUGCUGGAAUUAAAAGCCUAUAACCAAGAGCUUGAUACAGACUUAACUGAGCACUUGCUCAGUGCCAGGCAACGACUCCUUUGCGCCCCCUGCAGUUCACAGUCUUCACGUCACUUGUGGCGACUGAAGCGGAAGAGUUCAGCAGCGGCCCAGGCGGGUGAAAAAAAGAAAAAAGAAAAAAAAAAAGAAAGAAAGAAAAAGAAAAAGCCUCAGCUGCUGAGUUAGCGAGGAGGAAAGAAACCCUGCCAACUUCCACAGCCCUUCCAGGCCGGAGGGGCCUCAAAAAGCCUGGCAGAGGAGCCUCAAGCUGCCCGGAGGCCCCAGGGAUUGCCCACAGGCCCUGAGGGCUGAGGGGAGUCCUCUAGGCCUAUAGUCCAUUAGCAGUCUCUCCCUGCAA
rnacentral:lncRNA from 1 species